rnacentral:rRNA from 1 species
AUUGAACGCUGGCGGCAGGCCUAACACAUGCAAGUCGAGCGGUAGCACAGAGAAGCUUGCUUCUUGGGUGACGAGCGGCGGACGGGUGAGUAACGCGUGGGAAUCUACCUGGUAGUGGGGGACAACAGUCGGAAACGACUGCUAAUACGCAUACGCCCUUCCGGGGUAAGGUAGGGGAGGUCUUCGGUACCGUCCACGCUAUCAGAUGAGCCGCCGUCGGAUUAGUCUUGUUGGUGAGGUAAAGGACGUCACCAAAGGCGGAUGAUCCGUAGCUGGUCUGAGAGGA